rnacentral:Y_RNA from 1 species
GGCUGGUCCAAUGGUAGUGGGUUAUCAGAAUUUAUUAAUAUCAGGGUCACUGAAGUUGACAUAUAACUCCCCACUGCUAAAUUUGACUGGCUUUAA